rnacentral:rRNA from 1 species
AGGACGAACGCUGGCGGCGUGCUUAACACAUGCAAGUCGAACGGAAAGGCCCUUUCGGGGGUGCUCGAGUGGCGAACGGGUGAGUAACACGUGGGUGAUCUGCCCUGCACUUUGGGAUAAGCCUGGGAAACUGGGUCUAAUACCGGAUAGGACUACGAAUCGCAUGGUUUGUGGUGGAAAGCUUUUGCGGUGUGGGAUGGGCCCGCGGCCUAUCAGCUUGUUGGUGGGGUGAUGGCCUACCAAGGCGACGACGGGUA